UAGAGUUUGAUCCCGGCUCAGAUUGAACGCUGGCGGCAGGCCUAACACAUGCAAGUCGAGCGGAAACGAGAAUAGCUUGCUAUUCGGCGUCGAGCGGCGGACGGGUGAGUAAUGCCUGGGAAAUUGCCCUGAUGUGGGGGAUAACCAUUGGAAACGAUGACUAAUACCGCAUAAUAGCUUCGGCUUAAAGAGGGGGACCUUCGGGCCUCUCGCUUCAGGAUAUGCCCAGGUGGGAUUAGCUAGUUGGUGAGGUAAAGGCUCACCAAGGCGACGAUCCCUAGCUGGUCUGAGAGGAUGAUCAGCCACACUGGAACUGAGACACGGUCCAGACUCCUACGGGAGGCAGCAGUGGGGAAUAUUGCACAAUGGGCGCAAGCCUGAUGCAGCCAUGCCGCGUGUAUGAAGAAGGCCUUCGGGUUGUAAAGUACUUUCAGCAGUGAGGAAGGGUGUGUAGUUAAUAGCUGCAUACUUUGACGUUAGCUGCAGAAGAAGCACCGGCUAACUCCGUGCCAGCAGCCGCGGUAAUACGGAGGGUGCGAGCGUUAAUCGGAAUUACUGGGCGUAAAGCGCAUGCAGGUGGUUUGUUAAGUCAGAUGUGAAAGCCCGGGGCUCAACCUCGGAACCGCAUUUGAAACUGGCAGGCUAGAGUACUGUAGAGGGGGGUAGAAUUUCA
rnacentral:rRNA from 1 species